AACGAACGCUGGCGGCAUGCCUAACACAUGCAAGUCGAACGGGACCUCCGUGCCUAGUUGCGCUCGGGUGGGUAACGCGUGGGAACCUGCCCUUAGGUUCCGAACACUUCCCUUUAGGGUAUCCUAAUACAGCUUAAUCUCUUCGCACCAAGGAUUUCUCGCCUUUGGAUGGGCGCGGGUUGGAUUAGCCAGUUGGUAGUGGAAGAGCCUAUCAACGCGUCGUUGCUUGGCUGGUCUGAGAGGAGGAUCAACCACAAUGGGACUAAGACACGGCCCAGAAUGCUACGGAAGGGAGCAGAGGGGAAUAUAGGACGAUGGAGGAAGGCCUGAUCCAGCAAUGCCGCGUGAGUGAGGAAGGGGGUAGGGUUGUGAAGCUGUUUUACACGGAGUGAUAAUGACGGUACCGGGAGAAUAAGCACCGGCUAACUCCGUG
rnacentral:rRNA from 1 species